AGGAAGAGGCUGGAGCUGGUAGCAGAAGGGGCUCCACGGUGACUGUGACCAAACAGACCACAGCACUGCUGAGGGGGUGGCCAGGGGAAGGGCCCACCGCCCACCAGGAGGUCUGCCUGCGGCUCUGCUCCUCCCUGGCACACAUCAUGGACUCCCAUUAUACAUGGAACACGUGCCUGGUGGGGAUCGAUGCCACCAUGGGGCCUGGGAUUAUUUGCAUCUUUGCUGGAAAGAGCCUUCACACCAACAUGAAACUUCAAGGACGCUAGAACGUCAGCGCCUGCCUGAGCGCCCCCAUCCUUCAGUGUGUCUGUGGACAGGGCUUGCGGUUCUAUGAAGAUAUGGCAGAAAGUAUUUUGGAGGAGAAAAGCAAUCCAGGAUCGCGAAGUCCACGGGGCAGCUCCGGCGGGGGAGCCCGGCGGCCUUCCCUCCGCGCCUUCCCGGCGCUCCCGGCCCGCACUUCAAGCGCGAAGGAGGAAACGUAGAUGGAGAACAGGGGGCCUAGGGCGCCAACGCUCCAAGCGCAGGAGCCCCUAGCGGCUGGGCUGUGGCUUCUGUCGUGAGUCAGCUGUGGGAGGAGCGACCACGUGCCCGGCAGCACCCCGGAGCUUCGGCCGUCGGCUCCUCAAGGCCGAGCCCAGGCCCUGGAGACGCACCAGCAGCCGGCCCGGGGGCGCCAGGACCACCGAGAGGCGGGCUGGGGUCCGGCCUGGGACUCGCCCACCACCCAGCUUACGCCCACCGGUGGCCUCCGACCCCAAACACGCCCACGACGAGGCCGUGCCUCGCACCGGAAGAGGAGCCACAGUCUCCUCACCGCAUUCCGGAAGCCCAGGCCUGUGCUGGUCACCGCAGCGGCAGAGGAAGUCCCGCCCCGGAAGUCACGUGGGCCCCAGGGCGGGCUCCAUUAGCCCGGACUGCCCAGUCUUGGGGCAGGAAGUCCUGCCCCCUGGAAGUCACGUGGACUGGGACCGGAAGUCCCGGGAAGCGUGUAGGCCUUGGAGCCUGGGAUUCCAGCUGGUGGGGACGCUGCGGCGGGUGCGAGGGCCCUGCCCGCCCUGCCUGGGUGCGUGUCGGGGAGGCGUCCGGACUCCCUGCUCCGCUUCCCUCCCAGCGUUGGCGGGGGCGGUGAGGCUGAUUUCUCGUCGCUCUGAAGGACGGCGUCGCCGCAGCGCGCUCCCAGCAGCCCAGGCGAGGACGCGCGGCGGCCCGCGGGCGGACGAGGAAGCGUGGUGUGUCCGAGCGGCGGUGUCAUUCAGGCGCGGAAAGGAGGGACGUCCUGGUGCUGCUGCACCGGCAGAGACGCUUCAGACUACGCUCGGUGAGCGUCCAGACGCAGAAAGUCACGGCGUGUGGGGUUCCGUUUACAGGAACUGCCCGGCGUCGGCCCGUCCGUAGAGAUGGAAAGCGGAUCGGUGAUCGCCGGCGGCUGGGCAGGGAGUAUGGCAAAGGGAGCUGCUGCUCACGGGCGCGCGCUUUCCCCUGGGGGGACGAGAAUGUUCUGGAACAAGAUCGAGGUGACAGCUGCGCAACAUUCUGAUUGUACGAGAUGCCAAUGAAUUGGACGCUAACAUGGUUACAAUGAUGAAUUUUAUCUGAAGGAAGGAAGGAGAGAAGGAAGGGGGUGGCCUAGGCUGACUGCCUCCACGGUAAGGGCCUCGAGGCCAGGCCUGCGCCCGCUCUCUGAGGAGCGCUCCCCUGGAAGGCAUCGCGAUGGUCCUGAUAGCUGUGCAGGAGCGAUGGAGAUGUACCUGCUGAGGCCCAGAGCGGGCGACAAGCCACUUCAGGGACAAGCAAGAGGCCAGUGGCUGCCCAGAGUGACCGGCUAGCAGCAGGGCUAAGAUCCGCCCACUGGCAUGCUCUCCGGGCACCCUGCGUGUGCACUGUCCUUUCCUCCCGGGCCUGGUUCGAAGGAGACUGGUCCCAUCCCAUUCAUGCCGUGAAGAGGGAUUGGCAGUGCCUGGCACCUCGUCUACUCUGGAAAGACCUGAAGUUGCACAAGGGCUGAUGUCAGGUCCUGUGGGAUGAGUUACAGCCCCACCGCCCUGUCACAUUUGGCUCUCUGCCUUUGCUUGAAGUUCACAGCCUCCUCCUUUCCGGUCCCCUGAUUCUUGAUGUUUAAUUGCUAAUAGCAAUCCCUCCCCUUCUAUUUAUAACCACUUCAUAAUGCAGACCAGUGUCUCCCUGUGGUCGGGUGGUUUUAGUAAAUCCGCUCAGUAAUCUGAUGCUAACAGUCAGAGCAGUGUGUUUCUCUUGACCCUGGCUGAGAGUCACUUUGUGUGGUGGCACCACUCCCAGCCCUGAGAUGGGGGCAGCCCGUUCCCGCGUGGAAAAACCAACUUGCUCUUCCACUUCUUGUGGAUGAGUGUACACGCACUUGGGUGUGGGUGGGGUGGGGGCUGCCGAGGCAGGACAGAGGGCACCGUUAUUGGAGCCCAGGCUGAGUGUUUCUCCUUGCUCCAUGCACACAGACGUUUUUGAAGUCAGUUUGGAUUUUUGUGGAAACUUCAUUUUUUUAUUUUUCCCUCUUGUUUCUCUGGUAACAUCGAAAACAAACACACACAGAUGUGUCACCUGGCUCCCAGCUACGUUUUUCCAGCAGACACCUACAACUGGAAACUCAGCAGGACUUGGACUCCAGAAUCCAAAUGAACUCUUACUUAACUCCUCCUCCACCAAUUCUCUCUGUGCCUCACCCACCACAGAGCUGGCUGGGCAGACGCCCUCUUCCAGGCACCAAGGAGAAAGGGCUGUGGCUACUCUGUCCACCACCCAGGAACAGGCUUCUCCCCAGACAUUUGCAGGGGAAGAAAUCUCUGCUCCCAUAUCUUCCUGCCCUGCUCGUGAUUUAAAUAUAAGAACGAAGGUGUUUGCAACACUCACUUGCCUUCUCCGAACAACCAGAGCUUCUGACCGUGGAACAGGCUAUUUAUUCCCCAAAGCUGAGGAUUCCUUGUCUCUAGAAACCACAGAAUUUGCUUACUAGGAAAAUAUUGUUCCUUUAUUCCAGUUGUUUCAUUGUAAAAUGAAGCAGCUAAGGAACAAAGAGGAGGCCACACAGAGAAUUAGUGGUAAAGCUAGAGAGAGGAAGCCCGUUCCUGGCUCCAGUCUGCCCUCCACACCAUUCGGCUGGUCCCCACUGAGAGAAGCUGCCGAGUAUCUCGUCUGGAAGGCCUCCCAGGCUCCAGGAACUAGCUUUUUCACCAGUUCUGUUUUUGCUGACUUGUUCCAUUUUUGUUCUAAAUAAGGAAUUUCACAUUUCUACCCAGUUUUGAAUCUCAAAUAUGUACUCUGACAAUAUAGAAACUUUUCUAACACAUAGUAGCAUAUCAGCCAAAUUUCCCCUUUUACUCAUUAAUUCACCAAAUGGUUAUUCAACACCUACUGUGAGCUGGGCCAUGUGUGGUGGGAAUGCAAGGGUAGAUACAACCAAGUCUGUGUCCGCAAGAGCUCCUGGUGUCCCGUAGUGCAGCAGACAGAGGCACGGACAGGUGAUGCCUGCCUUGCAGGCCACAGUGCCAACACGGGUUGGCUUGGAGAUGUCCUUCCCUCUGCAGUGUUUACAGGAACUGUCUGCAGGUCCUGCUGCCAUGGCCCUCUUCACUGGAUGCUGGCUCUUCAACCACAUAUGUAAACUCAGGGUAAAUCUUUCUCCCUUCAUCUGGCUGUGAAGGAAUUCUGACAGAAGCGUACCUCUCGGACAGGGUCCAUCUCAGCUCUAACAUGCCUGAAAGCAGUGAACCGCUUAAACAGAGACUUCCUUCAAAAACACUGAAUAAAGAAAAUCCCUGGACUUAAUAAAAAUUGCUGCCAUUCGAAAACAAAGAGACACGAGGUGCUGGUUCAUGUCCUUCAUCAGGCAGAUGCCAAGAUAGGAUUAGCUGUGCAGAUGUCAUGGGGAAACAUCUGUGAAAGACAAAGGGGAGGGAGCUGGGAAGGCAUGGGGGAGAAAGGAGGAUGGGCAGGAAGUCUGGGACUGCUGCACAGGCCAUGGAAGGUUCUGGAGCCCAAGUCACCCCUUCGUGGCGUCCUGUGUGUUGCAGGAGUGACCUGCGUUAGUGUCCCCCCAGCUGAGUCUUGGGCAGGAGCAUCUCCUGUGAAGUGUGGCCCACGUGCACAUGGUGGUCCAAGAAGGGCACCACUGGGGCUGUCACUCACCUCUGCUACCCCAGCUGGCACUUCGUGGCUGCUGGCUUUGCACUGCACGGAUCCACUUCUCCACUCAGGCCUGGCGAGCAGCUCCUCUGGGAUUCCCACAGGCCUCUCUUCCAG
ensembl:lncRNA